rnacentral:misc_RNA from 1 species
AUUCGGACUCAGGAGGAGACAGGUAGACAUGUUAGAAUGCUAACUCAUGAAAUCCGAAGCACUCUUGAUAGACAUACUAUUUUAAAGACUACACUUGUUGAGCUAGGAAGAACAUUGGCAUUGGAAGAGUGUGCAUUAUGGAUGCCAACACGUACUGGACUAGAGCUUCAGCUUUCUUACACUUUACGACACCAAAAUCCAGUUGGAUUAACUGUACCCAUUCAACUUCCUGUAAUCAAUCAAGUUUUCGGUACAAAUCAUGUCGUGAAAAUAUCACCAAAUUCUCCUGUCGCAAGACUUCGACCUGCUGGGAAAUA